ACGGGAGGCAGCAGUGGGGAAUAUUGGGCAAUGGACGCAAGUCUGACCCAGCAACGCCGCGUGAAGGAAGAAGGCUUUCGGGUUGUAAACUUCUUUUGUCAGGGAAGAGUAGAAGACGGUACCUGACGAAUAAGCCACGGCUAACUACGUGCCAGCAGCCGCGGUAAUACGUAGGUUGCAAGCGUUGUCCGGAUUUACUGGGUGUAAAGGGCGUGUAGGCGGAGCUGCAAGUCAGAUGUGAAAUCCCGGGGCUCAACCCCGGAACUGCAUUUGAAACUGUAGCCCUUGAGUAUCGGAGAGGCAAGCGGAAUUCCUAGUGUAGCGGUGAAAUGCGUAGAUAUUAGGAGGAACACCAGUGGCGAAGGCGGCUUGCUGGACGACAACUGACGCUGAGGCGCGAAAGCGUGGGGAGCAAACAGGAUUAGAUACCCUGGUA
rnacentral:rRNA from 1 species